UUUUUCUCACGUGCAGCUGUGACGCAGGACGCUGCAGACACACAGUGGCAGUGUUUAUGGCUCACGUCAUCUUCCGCCGAGCUGAGCCAAAUCCAUCACAGUUGACACAGCUUCAGCACAUGGCCGCGGUGCUGCUCGGGGUGACAUGUGUUGAGGUCUGAGUCACGUCAAAGCCGGACUUGCUUUGGCCAAGAACCCCAUGCACCAGAGGGAAUAGACGGUGUAAGAGACCACGGAGUACAGAGUUACCUAACAUCGGCUGACCAUCCACUGACCACUGCGCCGUGCUUUCCACUGAGAAAGAGCCAGCUGCAGCUCAUUCAGCUCGAGCCCCAACGAAGACCACAACAUAGCAAAUUUCAAAUAUCCGCAUUGAAAUCCAGUCUGUCAAAGAACUGAUGGCAAAUUACUGCUGCUUUAUAAAUCACUAAGUGGUUUGGAUCUUCUGCUACUGUAUCGACUCACUGAACCUCUGAGGUCGGCACUGGUCUGGUUGUUCCCAAACAUUAAAUUCAAACAUGGCGAAACUGCUUUUAGCAGAAGAUCUGUGACUCGUCAACGUUUCUCGUUUUUAAAUCGAAGCUGAUUCUUUUAUUAAAUUCUGGGCAAAUUUUA